rnacentral:rRNA from 1 species
UACAGAGGUGGCAAGCGUUGUUCGGAAUUACUGGGCGUAAAGGGCGCGUAGGCGGUCCCGUCAGUCCCUUGUGAAAUCCCCCGGCUCAACUGGGAAACUGCAUCGGAAACUGAUCGGCUUGAAGGUGGGAGAGGGUAGUGGAAUUCCCGGUGUAGUGGUGAAAUGCGUAGAUAUCGGGAGGAACACCAGUGGCGAAGGCGACUACCUGGCCCAUUCUUGACGCUGAGGCGCGAAAGCUAGGGGAGCGAACGGG